UCCUUCGUAGCUCAAUUGGCAGAGCAGCCGGCUGUUAACCGGCAGGUUACUGGUUCGAGUCCAGUCGGAGGAGC
rnacentral:tRNA from 1 species